UGUUUACAUCAAUUCAUGCUGAUGUCACUGUAAUCUGUCUCAGUGAAGAUCUCCUUGAGUACAGUGCAAAUAUCUGCAUGAGAGACAUUUUCUUUGUCACAUUGAAUCUGAAACUGCAGAGUUUACGAAUGUCAACUUCUCAAUGCUUUCAUAGAGUGUUUGAAGACAGGAUGGAUAAGUGGGGAAUUCGUCCCAUCUUUCUACUAUUCAACUAUUACAAUCCUGUCAUAAACCAGCAGCUCACAGGGUUAAAGAAAUUUCAGUCCUGUUAUCCCAGCAGGGAGACCACACCAAAGUGGUGCAGAGAAGCUGAACAGAAACCAGAGGAGAAAGGGUGUGCCCACGUCAACUCAGACAAUCAAGAAGCAUCUCUCUGAUCUCACUUAUUACCAGUUACUUGACAUUACCUAUAAAGCAGCAACAUAUAAUCAAAUUUACCCAGCUGGCGGUUGUCAUUGGAUACCGUCAAGAAGAAAAACAUUUGUUUUAGUACCAAUAAAGAGAUAUCUUAAGGUUAUCUUACUGGUUGGGGAUGGAAUGAGUAUGGACUAGGAUAUGGUAGGAAAAAGAUUUUUCUGUGGCAUAUUUUCACUGCCAGUUGCAAAACGCCUCUAA